GGGGAGUACGUCCGCAAGGAUGAAACUUAAAGGAAUUGGCGGGGGAGCACCGCAACGGGAGGAACGUGCGGUUUAAUUGGAUUCAACACCGGAAAACUCACCAGCAGCGACUAUUACAUGAAAGUCAGGCCGAUGACCUUACUAGAUUUUUAGAGAGGUGGUGCAUGGCCGUCGUCAGUUCGUACCGUAAGGCGUUCUCUUAAGUGAGAUAACGAACGAGACCCUCACCAAUAAUUGCUACUGCGUCGUCCGCGGCGUAGGCACAUUAUUGGGACCGCUGGCGCUAAGUCAGAGGAAGGAGAGGUCAACGGUAGGUCAGUAUGCCCCGAAUCUGCUGGGCUACACGCGCGUUACAAAGGGCGGGACAAUGGGCUCCGACGCCGAAAGGUGAAGGCAAUCUCGAAACCCGUCCGUAGUUCGGAUUGAGGGUUGUAACUCACCCUCAUGAAGCUGGAUUCCGUAGUAAUCGCGAAUCAACAACUCGCGGUGAAUAUGCCCCUGCUCCUUGCACACACCGCCCGUCAAACCAUCCGAGUUGGGUUUCAGUGAGGUUAUCUCUAACUGGGGUAUUCGAACUGAGAUUUAGCAAGGGGGGUUAAGUCGUAACAAGGUAGCCGUA
rnacentral:rRNA from 1 species